ensembl:lncRNA
GGGAGGAUGGAGGAGGUAGCAUGGUCCAGGUCUGCUACAUCACACUAGCUCUCACUCCUCACUCCGCUGUGGAGGCACAAACAGAAUGAUCCAAGAGGAUCCAUACUGGUCAGGGGGUUUCACAUGCUGAAACUGGACUGUGGUACUACAACAAUACCAGUGUCACGACUUUGCCCUCUUUGGGUACAGCGAGCACCCCUCCCCCUGCACCAGCCCUUUUCUAUGCACCAUCCCCUUACCCCCCUGUCUCCUACACCCAGGCUGCUGUGGUCAGAGAGGUUGUAAAUUCCUGGAGGAGAUUUUCUCCUCAUGGCCACAGUAUAGAGAGAGAGAGUAAAGUUUCCUAAAGAGAACAAAGGAAUUUCUUCCACCUCACAGAACUGAAGAACCAAACAACAUUUAUGUUCUGGAGAAGGUAUAAAAGAUCGGUGAAGAAUCCAGCUACGAACUGGUCCGUUUGGUACAAUUUUGUGAAACUCAUGGGAGGCAAUACGGCCACAUUACAAUAACGCUGUUUAUAUAAUAGCCUCAGAUAUGAGGCUUACAUCUAAUUGUUGAAUAAGAUGAAUGAGUGAGGAUGAUACUGUUUGUGAAAUUGUGUAAUGUGAUUUUGGACUGUUUAAUGAAGGAAACUCCAAUUCCCUUUGUUUAACUAAAUCAGAGGACCGCCCAUGAGCACAGUUAUUGUCAGGCAUCCUGGGACAGGCCCUUUUCUGCAAUUCCGAAUAAAACCCCCACCUUGAGAAUUUCUCAACAGACCAUGUUUCUCUCAAAUAUGAGACGACAAAGGUUGCAGACCAGCUUACCUCGAUAACGAGAGGGCCAAGGUUUGAGACCAGACUGCUGAAUCUUUUAACCAUCCCACGUGGUUAAACUCUUAGACUAUCGAUACCGACAGAAUAAGAACAAGUCUUUGAUAUUAAUUACUAGUCUGCAGCUAGGAAUUCGGUAUCAUUGAAUGGGAAGACCGACAACCUCCGAAACAUCUAUUCUAUAACGACAUGAAUGAAUGUCACUCUGAACUAUCCAUUCUAACCACGGCAGAGAGACAGAGAGGGCGGACAAACUCUCCAACAGAAACUAGCUUCUCAACAGAGAUCCCGACACACUGAGCGUAAAUAUAUAUAUUGAUUGCAAUUGUUCCCGAAUGAGUGAAAGUUCAUGUGCAAAGGAUUAGCAUUUCAAUUGUUAUAAUUAUCAACUGUGUGUUGUCUUAUCUCAGUCGACCCCCACUUCCCUUUUGUACACCAAGCCGCAAUGCCGGUUUAUCCCACUAGGGAAACUCCAUUAUCAUUUCCUUGUAACCAUCUACUGUUUGUUUAUGCAUUUCUGUGAAUUACUUAGUUAGUAAAUAAAUGAUUUUAAGACAA